rnacentral:lncRNA from 1 species
GUACAUUGAGAUCUGUUAGCAGAAGCAAAGAUGCGAGGGCCUCUUCGGAUUACAGUAUUUUUCAAAGGAUUUUUGGAGGAAUACUGUUCAUUGGGAUUUUUCCCUUUCCUAUCAUUCGGAAGGCACAAACAAUUCAUAGGAUAAUCUAAGGAAAGAUUCCUUUGCUGCUGAUUACAUAGGAAAAACACAGGAAAAAUAACACCCACUCCGACCUCAUUUUUGUUUUCCUUCGCGUAAGACCGAGGCAAUCAAGCAAUACACAAGAACUUUUACAAACACAAGCGAAGCAACUGAGCAAGAACUAUGAAGGAUAGGAAUAAGACACAAUCCAAUUAAAAAGAACAAGGGGAAGAAGCAAGUCGAGGUUGCCAGCUGCUCGACCUUGUGAGUGGCCACAGCAGCAGCUCACUCCUGCCACGCGCCCGUGCGAGCUCGUCACCCGACCGCCGCCUCGCUUGCUCCGCCUACCACCGAGCUCGCCAUCCCUGUUGAUUUUGUCUGUUUGCUGCUCCCCAUGCCUCUGGAACAUUGGGGAAAAAGAUGAUGCGGUGAAUGAACUGAUGAAUGAAGGGGAUAAGAUAAGGCUUUCCUGUCUAGAGAGUACUUGAGAGUAGUGACUAGAUAGAAAAUAGUAUUCUAUUGCUUAAUUAGAUUAUAAUCUAUGAGGUUACUUGAUUGUAAAAUUCUUGUGUUGUAUGUAUUCCUGUAUUCUGAAUGCUUCAUGUCAUCAAAUUCCUUAGUUUUCAAUCCUCUGUUUUCCGUAUGUAAUCCUAUACUAUUCCUGUGUUUUUCCUGUUCUUGCAUUUUUCCUAUCCUGUGUUCUGAAUAAGCCGUCAACCUUACAAGUCCACGAAAAACGGAAUAAGGAAGUAAUGCAUGAUGACAAGCAACUCACUACACUCAUAGCUGUGUUGUUACAAAAUGUUUCUUAGAUUGUACUUUUUGUACUAUUAAUUUGCAUGUCGAUUGUAUGUUCAGUGAUGAUCCAUUCUCAAGGAAACCUAUACUCGUGUUUACGAUGAUCCAGAGGAAGAAGAGGUAAACUAAGCAUGCUUUUGUGCUUCAUUUGCUUUAUCACAUGUUGAUAUUUAUUUUAACUGUUUGCUUUACUCAUCAGGGAACGACACUUGAUGAAGCUGGGAAUUUCAAUGAUAACUUAGAAAAUAAUAUCGAAGAGGUAACUGAAUUUUGUCCCUAGAAACCUUACAUGUGAACAUUGGUAUUGUGGGCAAUCCUGAAAAUUCUGCAGUUGUUGCUUUACCUGGAUUUUCAUGUUGAUAACUUGAUAUUUUCAUGUUGCCAGCUCUGCAGAAGAUUGGAAGGCCGUUAUCUCCAAGAAAAAGAGCAGGAAACCUUACUUCUGCAAUGAACAUGAUAUCAGACAUAUGCUCCUGAUGAAAUGUUUCAAUUGAAAAACCAGGGAAAGAGAAAUCCCUUAGGAAGAAGGAAAUACUUGAUCUGAUGAACUCGAAUCAGAACUUAGUGCUGCUGCAUAGGGAGCAGGUGAUCUGCUAGGGAGGAAGACUGAUGCUGAAAAGAGAAAGCUGUCUACCAUGCAGCAGUCCUUGCAAAAGGAAGAAGAGGCAUACAAAGCAUUGAAAAAUACAACCGAAGUUGAAGAAAACUAGUUCUUGGGUGAAGACUACGAAGAUCUGCAGAAAUCACUGGAGCAAGCAGGAAGAGACUGCAGAUUCUGGUCCUCUUGCUGUAGCAAUACUAGCUACUGCCAGCAAAGACCAAGAGCUGCAGGAGGUCCACACAAAAUAACUGAGGUGGGAGAGUUUGUGUGGGGCCUACAAAUGAAGUUUGUGAUCUCAGGUAGUUCCGAAUAAG